rnacentral:rRNA from 1 species
CCUACGGGUGGCAGCAGUGGGGAAUAUUGGGCAAUGGGCGCAAGCCUGACCCAGCAACGCCGCGUGCAGGAAGACGGCUCUCCGGUUGUUAACCUCCUUUAUGAGGGACGUAAGAAAUGCCGGUACCUCAUGAAUAAGCCACGGCUAACUACGUGCCAGCAGCCGCGGUAAUACGGAGGUGGCAAGCGUUCUCCGGAUUUACUGGGUGUAAAGGGCGUGUAGGCUGGACUGCAAGUCAGAUGUGAAAAUUAUGGGCUCAACCAAUACCCUGCAGUUGAAACUGUAGUACUUGAGUGAUGAUGAGGCAGGCGGAAUGUGUGGUGUAGCGGUGAAAUGCGUAGAUAU